rnacentral:lncRNA from 1 species
GUGGUCCUAAAGUGAUAAAUUCGCAACUCUCAUAAUUUACGGACUCAGAUAGUCCACUCUGGUAUAUUGGCUUAACUUAUUUUUUAAAUUUCAGCAUUAGCAGAUCAUCGUGUGGGGUAAUCGUUAGGAUUGGGGGUUGUCAUUGCUUGGCAACCAUUGCUUGUGCUAGAAAAUUUAGGAAUUAUUUGCUCUGUUUGUGAAGUGUUGAGUUUUGAUUGCAAGUUGGUA